CUUGCCCAAAGUCCCACAGGAAAAGGAAAACAACCAGCAAUGGAACCAAUAGGAAACCCAGCACUGGAACUCAGGAAUCCUGACUCCCAAUCCCCUGGUCCAGUCCCUGUCAAAGGCAGGGGGAACGGACAUGAGGGCCUGGUUAUAAUUGCCAGCUCUGGGAGGGAGUGUGCAGCAGUGGUUAGUGAAGGGGCCAGGAAAUAAGGACUGCUGGGUCCCAUCCAUGGCUCUGACACUUGGGGUGACCCUGAGCAAGUAGCUUCCCCUCCCCAGGCCUGUUUCUCAUCAGCCGGGUUGGGGUCGCAGUCCCUACAGCCCAGGGGGGCUGGGAGGCUCCAGGAAGGUGUGUAAAGUGCUGGGAUGUCAGGAUCCUGGAGGCGCUGUCACCUCCGCCCUAGGGCAGUGUUCUGCACCCCCUGCUGCAGGCCGAGUUUCUCCGUCCCUUGGCAAUAAGACAGACUCUUGUUUUCACAGCCAGUCGACCACCCAGUGUCAUCACCCUGUCUGCUGGCUGGGCAGGGUAACUCCUCAGGUCACCACUACCCUCUUCAGCCUGCCUUGGGCUUGGAGAGUGAGGAGAAGAGUGAGGGACAACACUGAACAUCCGCCAUUGAUCGCUCCGUCACCUAGAGCAAGGACUGCCAGGGUCUCAGAGGAGGAGGAGGAGGAACGGGUGGACAUGGUCACAGAGGAGGCUGCUCUCAAAAACAUCCAAGAGCAGCUCCAGGGCCGAGAAAAGGAGCUCAUUGAGGAGCUUCCUGAUGACUCUCCACCGGGCGCCGUCCUGGCCAACUCCCUGAUUGCUGUGGGCAACCUCAGCACCUGCCCUGGACACCUGCCCUGACACCUGCCCUGGAGCCGGAGCUGGAGACCCACCUCCUUCGCGCUGCCCUUCUUGCCGUGUUCACGCUGGGCACGGAGAAGGAUGCCACCCAA